rnacentral:misc_RNA from 1 species
AAUUUCUCAAGCUUGGAUGGCUUUUUUAUCCGUCCUUAGCCUUGGUUGUUGGGCUUUGCCGUGCCCUUCAUUGGGACGGCUGGCCUUAAAAGCAUUAGCUGAUCCUCGUGUGGCACUGGUUCUACUCAGCGUGAUAAUUGUCUGAUCGCUGAGGACAUCUUUUGGGAUGGCCAGUCCUCAUUUGGGUUGCUUCUAAACCUGGUCUUGCAGAUUCUUCAAUCUGUGUUCCACUUUUCAG